rnacentral:rRNA from 1 species
ACAGCAGCCGCCGCGGGAACACGGAGGAUCCAAGCGUUAUCCGGAAUCAUUGGGUUUAAAGGGUCCGUAGGCGGUCUUGUAAGUCAGUGGUGAAAGCCCAUCGCUCAACGGUGGAACGGCCAUUGAUACUGCAGGACUUGAAUUAUUGGGAAGUAACUAGAAUAUGUAGUGUAGCUGUGAAAUGCUUAGAGAUUACAUGGAAUACCAAUUGCGAAGGCAGGUUACUACCAAUUGAUUGACGCUGAUGGACGAAAGCGUGGGUAGCGAACAGGAUUAGAUACCCCCGUAGUCCCUGUCUCUUAUAC